rnacentral:rRNA from 1 species
GACGUAGGGCGCGAGCGUUGUCCGGAUUUAUUGGGCGUAAAGAGCUCGUAGGCGGCUUGUCGCGUCGUCCGUGAAAACUUGGGGCUCAACCCCAAGCUUGCGGUCGAUACGGGCAGGCUGGAGUUCGGUAGGGGAGACUGGAAUUCCUGGUGUAGCAGUGAAAUGCGUAGAGAUCGGGAGGAACAUCAGUUGCGAAGGCGGCUCUCUGGACCAGCACUGACACUGAGGCACGAAAGCGUGGGGAGCAAACAGG